AACGAACGCUGGCGGCAUGCCUAACACAUGCAAGUCGAACGAAGGCUUCGGCCUUAGUGGCGCACGGGUGCGUAACGCGUGGGAAUCUGCCCCUCGGUUCGGAAUAACAGUUAGAAAUGACUGCUAAUACCGGAUGAUGACUUCGGUCCAAAGAUUUAUCGCCGAGGGAUGAGCGCGCGUAAGAUGAGGUAGUUGGUGGGGUAAAGGCCUACCAAGCGGACGAUCUUGAGCUGGUCUGAGAGGAUGAUCAGCAACACGGGGACAGAGACACGGGCCAGACUCCGCCGGGAGGCAGCAGUGGGGAAUAUUGGACAAUGGGCGAAAGCCUGAUCCAGCAAUGCCGCGUGAGUCAUGAAGGCCUUAUGGUUGUAAAGCGCUUUUACCAGGGAUGAUAAUGACAGUACCUGGAGAAUAAGCUCCGGCUAACUCCGUGCCAGCCGCCGCCGUAA
rnacentral:rRNA from 1 species